rnacentral:rRNA from 1 species
GACGAACGCUGGCGGCGUGCUUAACACGUGCAAGUCGAACGGAAAGGCCCUGCUUUUGUGGGGUGCUCGAGUGGCGAACGGGUGAGUAACACGUGAGUAACCUGCCCUUGACUUUGGGAUAACUUCAGGAAACUGGGGCUAAUACCGGAUAGGAGCUCCUGCUGCAUGGUGGGGGUUGGAAAGUUUCGGCGGUUGGGGAUGGACUCGCGGCUUAUCAGCUUGUUGGUGGGGUAGUGGCUUACCAAGGCUUUGACGGGUAGCCGGCCUGAGAGGGUGACCGGUCACAUUGGGACUGAGAUACGGCCCAGACUCCUACGGGAGGCAGCAGUGGGGAAUAUUGCACAAUGGGCGGAAGCCUGAUGCAGCAACGCCGCGUGCGGGAUGACGGCCUUCGGGUUGUAAACCGCUUUCGCCUGUGACGAAGCGUGAGUGACGGUAAUGGGUAAAGAAGCACCGGCUAACUACGUG